rnacentral:tRNA from 11 species
GCGGAAGUAGCUCAGUGGUAGAGCACAACCUUGCCAAGGUUGGGGUCGCGGGUUCGAGUCCCGUUUUCCGCUCCA